rnacentral:rRNA from 1 species
GACGAACGCUGGCGGCGUGCUUAACACAUGCAAGUCGAACGGAAAGGCCCUGCUUUUGUGCGGUGCUCGAGUGGCGAACGGGUGAGUAACACGUGAGUAACCUGCACUUGACUUUGGGAUAACUUCAGGCAACUGGGGCUCAUACCGGAUAGGAGUUCCUGCUGCAUGGUGGGGGUUGGAAAGUUUCGGCGGUUGGGGAUGGACUCGCGGCUUAUCAGCUUGUUGGUGGGGUAGUGGCUUACCAAGGCUUUGACGGGUAGCCGGCCUGAGAGGGUGACCGGCCACAUUGGGACUGAGAUACGGCCCAGACUCCUACGGGAGGCAGCAGUGGGGAAUAUUGCACAAUGGGCGGAAGCCUGAUGCAGCAACGCCGCGUGCGGGAUGACGGCCUUCGGGUUGUAAACCGCUUUCGCCUGUGACGAAGCGUGAGUGACGGUAAUGGGUAAAGAAGCACCGGCUAACUACGUG